AUUUUGAGUUUGCCAGACUGAGUUUGCUGUGGUGCUGCUGGUGGUCCUGGACUAUUUCCUGAUGAUGCAAAACCACAGGGUCCCAAUGAUAGCACAUGAUUGCUGAGAGGCUGAAGAGGAGAAGUAAACAAGAGACGACCCAGCAGCCCAAACAGAAUGCCGAGGUUCAGAAAUAGCAGACCUAUUCACAAGUGACGCCAAAGUGAAAAUCACUGACUCACUGACACUUUGGACCUUUUGAAUCCCAAUGCCUUCACAUAACAAACUUCUGCUGAAAUGCACUCAGACGUGUGAGACUUCUAGAGAUAGAUCUGGUAACUUGUUUUUGUUUUUUGCAAUCAAGAUCUAAAGCAACA